UACGAAGGGGGCUAGCGUUGUUCGGAAUUACUGGGCGUAAAGCGCGCGCAGGCGGCUAUCCAAGUCAGUGGUGAAAGCCCGGAGCUCAACUCCGGAACUGCCAUUGAAACUGUUUAGCUUGAGGACGAGAGAGGUGAGUGGAAUUCCCAGUGUAGAGGUGAAAUUCGUAGAUAUUGGGAAGAACACCGGUGGCGAAGGCGACCUUCUGGGCCGCAACUGACGCUGAGGCACGAAAGCCUGGGGAGCGAACGGG
rnacentral:rRNA from 1 species